CGGUGAAUACGUUCCCGGGCCUUGUACACACCGCCCGUCAAGCCAUGGAAGCUGGGGGUGCCUGAAGUGCGUAACCGCAAGGAGCGUCCUAGGGUAAAACCGGUAACGUGGGGCU
rnacentral:rRNA from 1 species